UAUUGUUGUUAUAGAAAGUAAUUUAUUACACAAACCAAAGCUAGUUUACAAAUACAGUUUCCAGUUCUGUGUGUGUGUGUGUGAACAAACAAACCCAUAUUUCAUAUUUACAUUUUUCAUUCAGCUUGGUUGUCCUGUUCCUUUGCAACCCCUCCCCCACAAAAAGACCAGGAUUUUAAAAAUAACAUUAACAACUAAAAUAUAUCUAAUAAAAUGUAUUUGCACAUUAAAGUAGUCUGAAGUAUUUUUUUUCUUUUUGUCUUUUCAGUUGCUUUGGUUUAAAAAAAACAACCUAAAAACAAAUAGACUUGUAAGUCCUAGCCAUGUUUGUGGACAGGCAGCCGUGAGGGCACCUUUCUCCUGACUGGGGGAGGAUUGACAGGUUGUUACAACCAAUUGUAAAAAAAAAAACUGUGGUUACACAAAGAAGAAGAAAAGGAAGCAACACAGAAGUCAUUAUUGUCUAGUUUUCAUCUCUUAUUUCUUUAAAUACUGACAGACGAUAGGUUUAGAGCCUGUUUUUAAACAUCAGGUACAGGGUCCCCCUGCAGGACAGAGAACAGGAAGCUCCAGGACAAACACGGUCACAAUAGGGAGAAAAAAAAACCCACUUUAUUUUAACAACAGGACUUGUUUUUGGAAUGCUAAAUAAUAUUAAACAUUGAUUUUUCUCCAUAAUGUGGCCCUGACUGCACCAGUAGGUCCAGAGACGUGGAUGGCAUGAUGGAUGACGGGUUGGAUGGGAUGAUGGAUGACGGGUUGGAUGGGAUGAUGGAUGACGGGUUGGAUGGGAUGAUGGAUGACGGGUUGGAUGGGAUGAUGGAUGACGGGUUGGAUGGGAUGAUGGAUGACGGGUUGGAUGGGAUGAUGGAUGACAGGAUGUAUCCAGGGUUGGCUAUCUACGAACUUAAGUAAUUGAGAACUUAAUUGUAAUUACAUUGAAGGGGGUUGAGUAAUAAUUGAAGAUGGAAUUGUAACUGAUAAUUGUAAUUGAUCUCAACCCUGGCUGUAUCUCAGACACCAUUUAUCUCCUCUCACAAACAAGCUCUGAUUAGGGCUGGGCGAUAUAUUGAGAUUCAAAAUAUAUCAAGUUUUCUAUUUUGGUGACGUAGAAAAUUACAACCUGGCCUUUAUUGUUACAUCUUAUUUUGUUUAAAAACACUAAUUUUAGGAGUUUUCACUACUUAGAUGAUCACAUUCUAACCCAGACCAUCUAAACACGCCACACUACAGAACUCACUCACACGUGCUGUCCCUUAGAGGAGAAAAAGACUAAAGUGGAACAUAUUGUGCAGCUGUUUGUUAAUAAAUGUGUGUGUGAAUUGUCUUUCUGGUCA
rnacentral:lncRNA from 1 species